rnacentral:rRNA from 1 species
UACGUAGGGUCCGAGCGUUGUCCGGAAUUACUGGGCGUAAAGAGCUCGUAGGUGGUUUGUCGCGUUGUUCGUGAAAACUCACAGCUUCAACUGUGGGCGUGCGGGCGAUACGGGCAGACUGGAGUACUGCAGGGGAGACUGGAAUUCCUGGUGUAGCGGUGGAAUGCGCAGAUAUCAGGAGGAACACCGGUGGCGAAGGCGGGUCUCUGGGCAGUAACUGACGCUGAGGAGCGAAAGCGUGGGGAGCAAACAGG